rnacentral:rRNA from 1 species
GAUCAUGGCUCAGGAUGAACGCUGGCGGCGUGCUUAACACAUGCAAGUCGAACGAAGCACUUUAUUUGAUUUCUUCGGAAUGAAGAUUUUGUGACUGAGUGGCGGACGGGUGAGUAACGCGUGGGUAACCUGCCUCAUACAGGGGGAUAACAGUUGGAAACGACUGCUAAUACCGCAUAAGCGCACAGGGUCGCAUGACCUGGUGCGAAAAACUCCGGUGGUAUGAGAUGGACCGCG